rnacentral:rRNA from 1 species
UACGUAGGGUGCAAGCGUUGUCCGGAAUUAUUGGCGUAAAGAGCUCGUAGGCGGUCUGUCGCGUCGGCUGUGAAAUCCCGAGGCUCAACCUCGGGUCUGCAGUCGAUACGGGCAAACUAGAGUAUUGCAGGGGAGACUGGAAUUCCUGGUGUAGCGGUGAAAUGCGCAGAUAUCAGGAGGAACACCGGUGGCGAAGGCGGGUCUCUGGGCCGUAACUGACGCUGAGGAGCGGAAAGCAUGGGGAGCGAACAGG